AUGAACGCUGGCGGCGUGCCUAAUACAUGCAAGUCGAGCGAACAGACGAGAGUGCUUGCACUCUCUGACGUUAGCGGCGGACGGGUGAGUAACACGUGGGUAACCUACCUAUAAGACUGGGAUAACUUCGGGAAACCGGAGCUAAUACCGGAUAAUAUUUAGCUUCGCAUGAAGCAAUAGUGAAAGACGGUUCUGCUGUCACUUAUAGAUGGACCCGCGGUGUAUUAGCUAGUUGGUAAGGUAACGGCUCACCAAGGCAACGAUACAUAGCCGACCUGAGAGGGUGAUCGGCCACACUGGGACUGAGACACGGCCCAGACUCCUACGGGAGGCAGCAGUAGGGAAUCUUCCGCAAUGGACGAAAGUCUGACGGAGCAAUGCCGCGUGAGUGAAGAAGGUUUUCGGAUCGUAAAACUCUGUUGUAAGGGAAGAACAAGUACGUUAGUAACUGAACGUACCUUGACGGUACCUUACCAGAAAGCCACGGCUAACUACGUG
rnacentral:rRNA from 1 species